CAUGCAGUCGUGCGAGAAAAUAUCUUCGGAUAUGAGUAGAGCGGCGGACGGGUGAGUAACGCGUAGGAAUCUACCUAGUAGAAGGGGAUAGCCCGAGGAAACUCGGAUUAAUACCGUAUACCUCCUUCGGGAGAAAGAAGGCCUCUCUUUGAAGCUUUCGCUACUAGAUGAGCCUGCGUAAGAUUAGCUUGUUGGUGAGGUAAAGGCUCACCAAGGCUACGAUCUUUAGCGGGUCUGAGAGGACGAUCCGCCACAUUGGGACUGAGACACGGCCCAGACUCCUACGGGAGGCAGCAGUGGGGAAUAUUGGACAAUGGGCGCAAGCCUGAUCCAGCCAUACCGCGUGUGUGAAGAAGGCCCUAGGGUUGUAAAGCACUUUAAGUUGGGAAGAAAAGUUAUUGGCUAAUACCCAAUAACCGUGACAUUACCAUCAGAAUAAGGACCGGCUAAUUCCGUGCCAGCAGCCGCGGUAAUACGGAAGGUCCAAGCGUUAAUCGGAAUUACUGGGCGUAAAGCGCGCGUAGGUGGUUUAUUAAGUUGGAUGUGAAAUCCCCGGGCUCAACCUGGGAACUGCAUCCAAAACUAAUUCACUAGAGUACGAUAGAGGGAGGUAGAAUUCACAGUGUAGCGGUGGAAUGCGUAGAUAUUGUGAAGAAUACCAAUGGCGAAGGCAGCCUCCUGGAUCUGUACUGACACUGAGGUGCGAAAGCGUGGGUAGCGAACAGGAUUAGAUACCCUGGUAGUCCACGCCGUAAACGAUGUCAACUAUCUGUUGGAAAGCAUUGCUUUUCAGUGGAGCAGCUAACGUAAUAAGUUGACCGCCUGGGGAGUACGGCCGCAAGGCUAAAACUCAAAUGAAUUGACGGGGACCCGCACAAGCGGUGGAGCAUGUGGUUUAAUUCGAUGCAACGCGAAAACCUUACCUAUGCUUGACAUACUUGGAAUACUUUGUAAUGAAGUAGUGCCUUCGGGAGC
rnacentral:rRNA from 1 species